AAAAGUUCCAACAGAGAAUGCCGGCAGUAAUUCCGCCAAUUCCACAUGUGGGGUGUAGUCACUAUACUAACCAGAAAAUCAAGCUGCUACCAAAGAUUGACGAAUGAAGAUAUUCAUCAAAGAAUUAUUUAUAAUAAAGAAAGAGUGAGAUGAGAAAAAUAAGACUCGGCAAGAUUAAAUAAAUGGAGGAGCCUGGACUGAGACCUUUGUUGGUCUGACCUCAAACUCUAGUCCCUUUAUCUCUGCAACUCAAAAUAUUAACAGUGAUCACCUCUGGGUAGAAAUAUGACAUGUGACUUUUUUUCUCUUUCAUACUUUUUUGUAUUUUUCAAAUUCAAUAAACAAGGGAUUACUUCUUAGGAAAAAAAAUUCUGAAAGAAAAAUUCCUUAAACGUGACUAGAGCCAUGAUGUGGUUAAAAAACGACUGCUGCAUGCGAUGGAUUCCUUCUGAAAACGGGUUAAUUAUGAACACUAGGAGCUUUCAUAUUCUGCUGAAGAUCCUGUUCAAAUCUAAUUUCUCAAAGUAUAUUGCUAGAUGCUAAUGAAAACCCAAAGAGACACACGCCUUCAGGAGAUGUAUAGCCAAUGAAUUUUCUGUUGUUUUUAUAGUGAACAACUUUUUUAUAUCCUAACAUUUUUACGCCAGCCAUGAAAAAGAUAAAUAAAUAUUUAUGACAUUCACUCAAUUCCACAGUAACUACUAAGUUGCUCAUGUUCUCACUUUGGUUUGAAAUGUGCAUAUUUUCGUGGCUGGGAGUCUCGACCCCAAAUGAGAAAGCCCCAGAAGGCUGUCCUUUCCAGACCCUAAAACUACUCAUUUGACUCCCCAAAGGGAUCUGUCUUGUAACAGGAUGGAACCAGCUCAACCAAGGCAGCUGUAGGCUGGACAGACACAGACCCAGUGCCGCCCAACAAACAGCCACGGACACAGCAGCAUUGCUAUGGACACUGGUUUUACUCAGGUUUUACCUGGUAUCAGAAGUGUUCGAUCAAGAACCACAAACAAGGUGAUUCAGGAAACCCGCAGGAAUAAAUGAGGACUGAUCGCAACCAUUCACCUGUCUUUCAGAAACUUUCCUUUACCAAAAAUGGCCCAAUAAACCCCUCAGUAUAUUGACUGAGGUUCCACUUGAGGGAGAUUUAUACAGUGAUAACACACGAAUUAUAAAGAAUAGGCCAGAAUUCACCAUUGGGUGGUUCAUGAGCUAAAAACAGCCCACAGGACAGUUAUCUUUAGCCUACAAGUGUUUUUUGUUUGUUGUUUGUUUUAACUGAUUUAGUGCCAAAGUUUUUAACAGAGGGACUUCCCAUUAAAAAAAACCAAGAUUUUUCUUGAAAAAGCUGGAGACCUGGCUACUUUGGUCCAGCGUUCCCUUACUGCAGCCGUGGGGUUGGAGCUCAACAGUGGCUUACCCAGUGCUCCCCCACCCUGCCCCCGGACUGGUAAGCUCACUAACGUCAGCCGCGUGGACUUUGCAGGCGCCUGAGCUUCUAGUUGGUAUAAUACGAGACACCUGAAAGGCCAUUAGACUGCCCCACACCUACCACGCAGGUCCUCAUUUCACCCAAAUCCAUACAGUCCGCCCUCCAUAUCUGCGAGUUUCCCAUGCUCAGGGUUCACAUCUUCAGAUACACAGGGCCAACUGUAUUCGUUGUAGUAUGCCAUUUUACAUGAGACUUGAGUGUCCAUGGAUUUUGAUAUCUGCAGGGCUUCCUGGAACCCAUUGCCCAUGGAUACCAAGGGACGACCGUAUAAUCAUGUUUCUCCUUAGACUGCUCUUUGGCCCCAGGCAAUAGGAGAAUGGAAGGAAAUGCAGAGGAGGCUACACAAAGAAAAGGCUAUUUCACUACCAUCUACCCAAGCACAGUCUCCGGGCUAACAGUUGACAACAAGGUGCUCCAUGAACUGGCCCUGCUUACCUUCCCAGCCUCACUUUCCCUGGCUCUUGCCACCCCCUUACUUUGUGAUCCAUCAGUACCACCUUACUUAGGGCUCCCCAUACAUGCAAGUGUCCAUCUCUACCUUAGCGCUGGUCCCUUGACCUAGAACGUACUUCCUUCAUGCCUUCAUUGAUGGUGUCUUCCUCAGCAGACUGCACACACGAUUCAGGCAAUUAGUUUCUGUCACGCUCACCUUGGAAGCCCAGCAUGGUACUCAGAACAUACUUAUUGCAUGAAAGACAUACCAGCAAAUUCCAAGUCACCUCAAAAUGUUUAGCUUAGAUGCUGACCCUUCCGUACCCUGGCAAAGUUCAUCCUUCUGUCUUAUUUUUUGCCUCAGCUAAGACUUUUUGUUGGUCAUACUUAGCCACCACAUUGCUAUCUGUUUAUUUGUGCUUUCUGGACUAAUCCUGGAUUUUGAGGAGAAAGCCUGUGUCUUUUUUACGGCUAUAUCCAUGGAGCCCACCACUGUGCCAGUACCCUGCAGGGGCUCAAGAUAUACUGGGUAAAUGGAUAAAGUAAUAGAGCACAAGGUCCUUUCCCAGAAAUCCUUACUCCUUGUCACGGACACAGAGGUGCCACUAUCCUCCUCGUCACCAUCAGCAUAAUCCUCAUCAAAACUGUCAUCAUUGCCACCAGCACCACCACCUCCAUCAGACAGAGAGCAGAAACCCAGUGCACGCAGCUUUAUGCAAAGGAGCCAGGGUGCAAUGUAAGCCUUUGUGUCUCACGUCGCUGAAGUGCAGCCAAGAGGAUGGAGAGGACCAGCAUCGCGAGGACCCGACUAUUCCACAUGUUGCACCCACUUUUUCACACCCUCCCAACUCAAACGUAAAAGGAAACAACUGCCUGUUUAGAUCUUGUUCAAGACAAAGUCACCAUCAUAUCAGCAACCUGUAAGGCACCUAGAAGACAGCUAGCCGGAUAAUGCAUGCAUAAUUCAAUUCCAGUAGUGGCAGCCUGACGUCUUUACCCACAGAACAUAUCUCAUAUCUUCUUCCUCUGGAGUUUUCUAUAAGUUAUGGAUUAAUAAACUUUCCCUAAGAAUGCAGCUUUAUUAAUCUUGCAAAAUACUCAGAAAAAGAAAAUAUUUUAUUAUGCCCAUCUAAAGUGAACUACGAUAAACAAAGUCCCAUGUGUGCUGACAAGAAAUAAAGUCGUUUUCUGCAGCAAAUUGUGUUUGCAGUGGUGGCUGUUUCUCCGCCAGUCAGAUCUGGAGUAAACAAAAUAUCAAACUAUAUCCUGACCUGUGAAGACAAUAGGGGCCACCAAGAUCACAGCCUCCCAUGACCCAAUUUCUGAGGGGAGAAAGAGAAAAUUCGCUCAGGGAGGCAUUCGUUCAAGCUUCUCCUCUUAAAGCUGGAAGAACAAAAACAAACAUGGAGGCACAGGGCACAGAGAGCGGGGUCCGUCAUCGUUCGGUGACCGUCUUCUCUUCAUCAUAUCGAGGCACGUCCUCUUCAAAGAGAACAGCUGCGGGACUUGUGCAAUCUCCCUCAGUUGUCUGAAGGUGGAGAGGAACCAGCGUGUGUGGCAUGUCAGCGUGCACUAGGCACAGUUCUAAUUGUGGUGAAGGUGCUACUUCUUCUGAUUUACAAAACAGCCCUAUAAGAACUCAUUUUUCAAUGGAGGCUCCAAGAGUUAAGUGUCUCGCCCACGGCCACCAGCGCAAGUCAUUGGCCAAGACUUGGUUUGACCAUCUAUGAAACAGGGAGAGUAAUGCCCAUCCUGUAUAUCUGACAGGAGUGUUCUGAAGAUCAAAGGAGAAGAUAUCUCCUUACUUUGCGUACGUGUGUGCGUGCACAUGAAAUGCUACACAAAUGAAAGAUCACUGUAGCUAGAGUGUAGAUUUAUCUGUACAUUCACCUGCUGGCUUCCUUUCUUCCCUCUAAAUGUCAAGUAUUUUAAUGUUUAAACAUACCCAAAGAAUCAGGGUCACCAGGAGUCGGAGCUGACUUGACAGCAAGUGAUGACAACAACCAAAGAAUCAGUCCUAAAACCUCAUUCACUGCAAAGGGGAAAUAAACAGUUCCAGCUCCACUGUUAAACCCCUGGUGACCUGCAACAUAUGUGCCGAGUCCCGAGCCUAAGCAGUCUCCUCAUCUAUGGAACGAGAGGGCUGCUCUGCCAGGCUCCAGGGGCCCAUCUAGCGUGGGCAUUCCAUGAUUCCAGACGGGCUGCGAUGUCACCACAGGCGCUGCUCUAGAGCUGCAUGUUUACAGGGCCACGUUUCCACUCAUCCUCUCUCUGCCAUGUUGAAAUGCAGGCUCCCAAUCCCUUAUCCAACAUCCCUGGGUCUGAUGUGUUCAGAUCACAGAUUUUAUUUGCAUUUUAGAAAGGCAGCAUAUACUACGCCAUGCACUUUCCUUUUAUUUGUAUUCC
rnacentral:lncRNA from 1 species